rnacentral:rRNA from 1 species
AUUGAACGCUGGCGGCAGGCCUAACACAUGCAAGUCGAACGAGUGGCGGACGGGUGAGUAAUGUCUGGGAAACUGCCUUAUGGAGGGGGAUAACUACUGGAAACGGUAGCUAAUACCGCAUACCAUCAGAUGUGCCCAGAUGGGAUUAGCUAGUUGGUGGGGUAACGGCUCACCAAGCCGACGAUCCCUAGCUGGUCUGAGAGGAUGACCCGCCACACUGGGACUGAGACACGGUCCAUACUCCUACGGGAGGCAGCAGUGGGGAAUAUUGCACAAUGGGUGCAAGCCUGAUGCAGACAUGCCGCGUGUAUGAAGAAGGCCUUCGGGUUGUAAAGUACUUUCGGUGGGGAGGCGUUAACCGCAGAAGAAGCACCGGCUAACUCCGUGCCAGCAGCCGCGGUAAUAC